UAAUACUCCAUAGAAUAGAGACACUGGAAUGUUCUUUAGUCGAAGGUUCUGGCGCCUUAGGAUGGAUCUGCGGUCGAUUAGGUUGUUGUUGGGGUAACGGCCCAACAAGCCUGUAAUCGAUACGGGUUGUGGGAGCAAGAGCCCGGAGAUGGAAUCUGAGACACGAUUCCAGGCCCUACGGGGCGCAGCAGGCGCGAAAACUUUACAAUGCAGGAAACUGUGAUAAGGGAACUCCGAGUGCCCGUAUACGCGGGCUGUCCAGGUGUUUAAAAAUCAUCUGAAGAAAGGGCCGGGCAAGACCGGUGCCAGCCGCCGCGGUAAUACCGGCGGCUCGAGUGGUGGCCACUAUUAUUGGGCUUAAAGCGUCCGUAGCUGGACCGAUAAGUCUCUUGGGAAAUCCGCCGGCUCAACCGGCGGGCGUCUAAGGGAUACUGUUAGUCUAGGGACCGGGAGAGGUGAGAGGUACUCCGGGGGUAGGAGUGAAAUCCCUGUAAUCCCCGGGGGACCACCGAUGGCGAAGGCAUCUCACCAGAACGGCUCCGACAGUGAGGGACGAAAGCUGGGGGAGCGAACCGGAUUAAAUACCCGGGUAGUCCCAGCCGUAAACUAUGCGCGUUAGGUGUAC
rnacentral:rRNA from 1 species